UGGGAGUACAGUCUGCAGGACUAGGUUGCUAGUUCAGCAGAAACGGAGGUAAGUGGAGAAUCAGGAAGACUCUUAAAAGAUAGAAUACUUGUCUUUCUUCUGCAGUAGAUAGCAAGUAACUUCUUUCUGUGAAGCUACUAAGCUAUUUAGUUAUUUGUACAUUAUAUUUUUUUAGUUUGAAAAUAUGUUUUUUAUUAUAUCAUAUGCAAAGUUUAUUUGUUAAAUGUUUCCUAUGCCCUCAUGUAAAAACAAUUUGCUUUUAGAACUGAGGAAAGCUAAGAUUAACACUGGCUAAACGGUGAGGAUACGGUGAUGUUUUCAAUGUCCGAUAUGUAUUAAAUAAAGGAAUGACUGCUUAAACAUAAUGAAAACCAUGGCACAAACAAUGGGCAAUGGGAACCUUUUAAAUAACCUAGAGAAAACAAAGAUAAAGAGCUUUGAGAAAGUCUGCCAUAUUUUAACUUGAAAAAGUGGAGGCAGAGGGGAAGACUACGGAAGAAACCACCUUAAAAAACAAAAACAACAACAAACCACCUCCAGAAUGGAGAUUCUACCCUCUAGGCACUAAAAUGCACAACCAUAUUUAAAUGCACAAACAACUGCAGUCAAUGAGACUACCCAUACAAACAGGGAUUGGAAGCAGCAGCCUCAGCCCUAUGCGCACUGCACUCCUCCCAACAGGCGGUCGGUGCUCUGCAGCUGCCACUGACCCCCUGGGUGCCAGCCUUGGCCCACCUGCACAGCCUCCAGCCCACCACUAUGGACAGACCUCAGCCCACCAGUAAGGACAGACCUUGGCCCACCAGCACCGAUGGACAUCACCCUUCAUCUGCUAUCACAAUGCACUCGUGGCAAACACGAGUCACGUUCUCUCGCCAGCUAAGUCUUUGCAAAGCGUAUCCUUCCACAGAUUCCUUUAAUGGCUUCUUCUGUAGGAGAAGUGAGAACGCGCAACUCUGCUCACACCCAGGUUGAGGAGCAGGAGAGAAUCCAAUUCCGGGCUGCCGAAGAGCUGCCUAUGCUGGACCUGCACUCCUCUGCCUCAAGAAGCUCCUGCGCUCACAUGAAGCACACACAGACCUUACAUCUCUCCAGAACUGCUUCUCAUACAUGAGCUUUUUGAGGAGAAGAGUGUCAGCCUACAGCAUAAAGGUAACGGCGUUGCCACAGAGCAGUAAUACAUGACUGCAAGUGAUGCCGCAUCAUGUUAAAGUACAGCUGGAUAAUGAGGCAAACAAUAUACUUUUCAUGACAUUUCAAAUGAAAGGAAAAGGAGCAAGAUGGAAAGAAAUCCUGCAUGUCUUCACACUGUGGUGACAAUCUCUUGUGGCAACGUGAAUUAAGUUUAGGUGAGAGAAGGGUAGUUUGCAAGCAGCUGGCAUCCAAUAAAAAGAAUCAGGCUUGCCUUGCACACUUGUUACUGCUUACAGACAAGGGAACUUCUUACAUUUCAGACUACAGUAUUCCCCUCUUCCAUUUUGAAGUGUGCCUACCUCUAUUUUAAUUCAGAUUUAGGUUCAGACUUAUAAUUUUCUUUUUGCAGUUAGUUUAUCCGUUCCGCGGUGUUCACAUUUACACAAAACCCUCUGUGGGAUUUCACAAGCUCCUGGAUGUUCUGUUGCUUUGUUCUGGUACUGGUAUCAAUUCCUCCCUCAAAGACACACUGCCAGGGAAUAAUUCUGCAACAAGGAUUCUUAUUCUCUACAGCCUACAGCCUUUCACCAGAGGUGUCGUCCAGUGUAACUUGGCGGAGCUGUUGGUAUCUGCAAAUAAGGAUAAUAAACCCGUAACUGAGAGGUCUGGUCUGUUCAGUAAUCAGUGUUACCAUGCUACAUGUACAGUGUUUCCAGAGCAAAGGACUACAAUGAAACUCAUGUUCAACCCACAUGGCAUGUCUACCUCUCUAUAAAAACCAUGGCUAUAUACACACAUUUCUCUCUCAUAUUACUAUCCAAUGCUCUCCAGUAAGUUUUGUAUCCACCUCAAAACAAGACCAAACAAAUUCUCUAGUUUCUCACCAUCCUUGAACUGCUUUUCCCUGAGCUGCAUAUUCUGGUAUCAGAAAACACAGGCAUGGAUGAAACCAUGCAUCAAAAGGAUGCUAUUCAUGACUGGCAGCAAAGCACAAGCCCCUUUUUAUUCAAGUUGAUGUGUUCCCACUGUAUUACCCACACGACAGAAGCCUUGUAUCUAGUCUGCCUUGUUCACUAAAUCCAAACAAAAUGGUAUUUACUUACAAACAAACAGGAGACCUGCCUUCGGAUUGUAUUAUUUGGCUUUAAAUGUAGAGGCUGAGUUAUGGAAUCAGCUCAUGAUUCAAAAUUAAAAAAAAAAAAAUUGUGUAGAGUGCUUAUGGAUAGAUUUUUACAAGCACGUAGAUAUGCAUGAAAAAAUAUGGGGAUGAAAAUUCUUUUUCAACGUUAUGCCUACUCUAUGCCACUUCUUAUGUGCAAAUUACAUGCCAUGCUGGAAAUAUCUGGAAGGUCUGUUUGGCAUCAGCUCGCUAAGCCAUUCUUAUAGCUACCAGGCUGCAAAAGACAGGUCUAUGGAAUAAUGACAUGCCAAACUAUUGCCUAAGGGAGAAAGAUCAGUGUUGUUAUCAUUAAAAUAUUCUACAUUGCUCUUAUUUCCCAGAGAUCUUUAGGUCUAUAUCUUACAAAGAAUUAUGUACAUUUGCAAGACAAUGGAAACUAGGUGAGAGGC
rnacentral:lncRNA from 1 species